rnacentral:snoRNA from 1 species
AGCAUACUUUUAAAAAAGGCUUUAAUGGGGCUGUAAAGUCAACAGCUCUUAAGGCUGUAACUAAAGGUUGAAGUUCUCCACAGGACUGUACAGUCACUUCAGUAAUGCUAAUGUUUUCUUGAGAAGAUAUGAGA